AUUGAACGCUAGCGGGAUGCUUUACACAUGCAAGUCGAACGGCAGCGCGGACUUCGGUCUGGCGGCGAGUGGCGAACGGGUGAGUAAUGUAUCGGAACGUGCCCAGUAGCGGGGGAUAACUACGCGAAAGCGUAGCUAAUACCGCAUACGCCCUACGGGGGAAAGCAGGGGAUCGUAAGAACUUGCACUAUUUGAGCGGCCGAGAUCGGAUUAGCUAGUUGGUGAGGUAACGGCUCACCAAGGCGACGAUCCGUAGCUGGUUUGAGAGGAGGACCAGCCACACUGGAACUGAGACACGGCCCAGACUCCUCCGGGAGGCAGCAGUGGGGAAUUUUGGACAAUGGGGGCAACCCUGAUCCAGCCAUCCCGCGUGUGCGAUGAAGGCCUUCGGGUUGUAAAGCACUUUUGGCAGGAAAGAAACGUCGCGGGCUAAUACCCCGUGGAACUGACGGUACCUGCAGAAUAAGCACCGGCUAACUACGUG
rnacentral:rRNA from 1 species